rnacentral:rRNA from 1 species
AUGAGGCGAACCGGGGGAACUGAAACAUCUAAGUACCCCGAGGAAAAGAAAUCAACCGAGAUUCCCCAAGUAGCGGCGAGCGAACGGGGAGCAGCCCAGAGCCUGAAUCAGUGUGUGUGUUAGUGGAAGCGUCUGGAAAGGCGCGCGAUACAGGGUGACAGCCCCGUACACAAAAAUGCACAUAUUGUGAGCUCGAUGAGUAGGGCGGGACACGUGGUAUCCUGUCUGAAUAUGGGGGGACCAUCCUCCAAGGCUAAAUACUCCUGACUGACCGAUAGUGAACCAGUACCGUGAGGGAAAGGCGAAAAGAACCCCGGCGAGGGGAGUGAAAAAGAACCUGAAACCGUGUACGUACAAGCAGUGGGAGCACGCUUAGGCGUGUGACUGCGUACCUUUUGUAUAAUGGGUCAGCGACUUAUAUUCUGUAGCAAGGUUAACCGAAUAGGGGAGCCGAAGGGAAACCGAGUCUUAACUGGGCGUUAAGUUGCAGGGUAUAGACCCGAAACCCGGUGAUCUAGCCAUGGGCAGGUUGAAGGUUGGGUAACACUAACUGGAGGACCGAACCGACUAAUGUUGAAAAAUUAGCGGAUGACUUGUGGCUGGGGGUGAAAGGCCAAUCAAACCGGGAGAUAGCUGGUUCUCCCCGAAAGCUAUUUAGGUAGCGCCUCGUGAAUUCAUCUCCGGGGGUAGAGCACUGUUUCGGCAAGGGGGUCAUCCCGACUUACCAACCCGAUGCAAACUGCGAAUACCGGAGAAUGUUAUCACGGGAGACACACGGCGGGUGCUAACGUCCGUCGUGAAGAGGGAAACAACCCAGACCGCCAGCUAAGGUCCCAAAGUCAUGGUUAAGUGGGAAACGAUGUGGGAAGGCCCAGACAGCCAGGAUGUUGGCUUAGAAGCAGCCAUCAUUUAAAGAAAGCGUAAUAGCUCACUGGUCGAGUCGGCCUGCGCGGAAGAUGUAACGGGGCUAAACCAUG